rnacentral:misc_RNA from 1 species
AAGUCAUAAUAAGGUCUUCAUUGGUGAAUCAAUGGAGGGAUCAUUACUGAGUCAUAUGCUCAAACAAUCCUUCUAUGGACCUGAAUUAAACCAUUGCCUUGGUGGAUGAUCCCCUGCCAAAACCCAUGUGAUUAUGGAUAGAGGAUUAGACAAUCUGGUAUGCUUAAGGCAUCCAGUGUCAAUCAUUGGCCUUAACUAAUUAAACUCUAGUAAUCUUAUCUUCUGAGUUUUAAUACAAAAAAAAUAAGUCAAAACUUUCAACAAUGGAUUUCUUGGCUUUG